AAAAGCUCUUUAAAAGAGUGGUGCUGCAGUGGCACAGGCUGCCCAGGGAGGUGGUGCAGUCGCCAUCCCUGGAGGUAUUCCACAACCGUGUGGAUGUGGCACUGAGGACAUGGUCAGUGGGCACUUCUGGUCAUAGGUGGACAGUUGGACUGAAUGAUCUUAGAGGUCUCUUUCAACCUUAAUGAUUCUGUGAUUCUAUGUGAUGAAGAGUGCGUAACUCAGUGAUCGCACUGAGCUCAGUGGUCCCAUAUUAAUAGAAAUAGAAAUACUCUAUAGAACAGAUUAUCAGUAGAAACAAUCCAGCAGUAUUGUGAUGAUUUCUCCAAGUCUUCCUGGAAACCAGAAGUUUUGCCAGCUGUACUCACCUCUAAGUGUUCAGAUUUCCUUUUGCUGCCCACUGUGAGUGCACAGACAGCCGUGUCUCUAUCCUGGCGUGACAAAGCAAUGAGAAAAUUGUAUCUUUAAAUACCAACUUAAUCUAAUCUGGGACAAAAACAAUGAAAGGCUUUAAUCAUAAUUGCAUGGUGCCUGCUGGCUGUCACCAGAGGGCAGAGACAAGGUUGUUUGUUGCCACGUGUGGAUAGUUCAGAAAUUAAAUCUCCUUUCCACAAAGGCAAUAGAUUCUGAUCUAGCUUGUGUCCUUUCCAAAUAUUUCAGCCUCGUAACCAGAUCACUCAUUUCAUCAGCAUCUGCCACAAACACUGUCUUGUUUCUGUCAGGCUAUGUACAAAGGGGCAAGGAGAAAUGUCUUUAUCGUACUGUGGGUGCCUGACUUCAUAACAUCACAGCUUACACAAAAUACUGGCUCACAUUAUAAACAGGAGACUUACUUCCCCUUUGCAAAGCUUUUCCAGAGCUUGGUGUUUGCAGUGCCUGCACUCUGUGAAUGCUUCCCAGCUGGGCAACCACAGCAGGAACAGGGGGAGCCUGAUGGGGAUCCAUCUUUGAUCAGGAGCUGCUCUUACACAGGACACAUGGAAAGCUGUGCUGUUGUCUCAGUUUAGAAGAACGAAGAUUUUAAAGCCCAAGGCAGUAAGAAUGCAGUUUUGGACCAUCUCCCUCCAAAAAAAGCUACUCUACGCACAACAGCCCUGCCAGGCUGCAGCAUGAGCUACCAAAGAGCUGCUGCUGCUCGAGUGUCUCUGUGCCAUGCGCCACUGGAUGGCCAGGCUUGGUGUCUACAAGCAAGCCCUUGGGCUCGCUGUUCACAGCUCCAGCACCAAGGCUUAACUGGAGAAGGGAUUCCACAAGAGAAGCCAAAACUGUUUAUCAGAACCAGGAAUCAUUGGGCUGACUUGCCAAAUCAGACUAAGAGUUUAUAUGGCCGUUAUGAGGACUUAGAAUAAAGCGCGUGGACAUGGAAGACAUUGGUACAUAAACAUUUAAUGCCCUGAUGUUUUAAUUAUUUUGGCCUGCAGCAGCAAGGAACAUUUUAAAGGCCAGAUCCUUUGUAGUGCUGAAUAUAUUCAACACCAGUUGUGCUCCUCAGAACCACCGUGCUCGGUGCCUUCCCACGAGGUGCCUCAAGUAGAGCCCCAUGCUGCCUGCCCUCCCAGCCAGCAGCCACCACCACCCUGGGGGUGGAAAGUACAAGGGCAACUUGACGCCAUUGAGAACCACAGGACAUUCCUCGUAUGUGAAAUUUCUGCAGAUUCAAGAUUUCUACAUAGCUGUGCUGCCACUUACUUACAGAAACAUGUUUUCACAGCUUAAAUGCAUUAACCCCUAGUGGGCCAUAGAUUUCUGUGUGGGAUUUGACAUGACGUGUCUUCGAGAGAUCUUCAGGACAGGAAGACAAAACACCACUCCUGGAAAUUAAAAAAUAACUGAAUUUAGAUCAAACACUUGGAAAGUCUGGCUUUUGCUCUAAAAGAUUAACCAGUAUUUAGAAUUUUUUUUUUUGCUGUGGGAGAUUCCUUAAGUAAUUAUUAAAAAGCAAGAUGAAAAACCAGCAUCAUCUUUUGAGUGCCAAUAUCACGCCUGGACAAAAGCAAUCAGCCCUAGAUCAGCCCUAACAAUAUUUGCUCCUGGAUACAUUGCAGAAUCCCUGGCUAUGCUUAGGAUAGGAAGGAAUUUCCUCAUGUGCCUUGUGAUCAGAGCUGAACGUUAGCCUUGUCCCCUCUAUGGGCCCUGUUUUGUUUCUGAAGAUUUCCUCUGCUUUUUUCAGGUAUGGUUUGGUUUGAUUUACUCUAGUAAUCACAAAAAAUGAUCUAGAUUUUUGUCCACUAGAAAUGAGAUGCAGGGAAAGGAAGAGGAUUAUGAGAAUAACUAGCUGCUCAACCACCUACAGCCUCCUGGUCCACUCCUACAAGAUCAGUGGAUUGUGUUCAAGAUCACAAUCAAAGCAUGCGUUGUGUCAGUUGCAGCACUACACCUAAGCAGCAACCUCUUUGCUUCUAUAUGUAGCUAGAUCAUUGCCAGGCCUAGAAUAAGGUGAACAAAAUUCCUGAUCUCACAGUUAAUGACAACAUGCUUUAAUUCUUUUACUCCUGUUACACUUAUGAAAACAGUCUAUAUAGUGUGAUGAAUUUUUAUGCAUACUUACUCUUCUUAUUUCAGGCACAUUGGUUCUAGAUCUUUAUAAACAGCCCCAAGGUGGUUUUUUUUUUGGUUUUUUUUUUUUGGUGUUCUUUUGGCAAAUAAUUGGUCAUACUUGAAGCUGAUGGGAGAGUUUGCAUUGGACUCAGGGAGUGGGCUUUGCCUCGGGUCAAGUAAAGCCAGUAACUGGAUCCAACAACAACUACUUGAUCUCCAGUUUCCAGUUUCUCCAAUUGUUUUGUCUGUUCUGCAGAAGCUAAGUUAAUUACAAAUAAUAGGCCCUAACUUGACAUAUACCUCUCUCAUAUUCAACCUCUAUGAUUAGAAAAACACCAAGACUAGAUAUCUACAUGAAGUCUGUCUUGUGAACAUGGAGGCAAGCUGGAAACUAGACCUCAAAGAGAAGACUAAGUUGAAUUCUUCCUCCAAAAGGGAUAUUCACUUCAACACAUUGUAGCUGUGAACAGCAUUUGCAAUUCCAUAUCUCAUCCCAUUAGUUAAAUUGGUUUGCUUCAAGGGCUGAUGAGGGAGUUUUCACAGAGAAGACACAGAUGUCCUCCUUUCCCUCUAAUGCCUUGGCAUUAAACCAGAUGAGACAGUGCUCAUGUGGCUUAAUAUCCUCGUUGUUCACAAGUUUUUCCUAGAUUAGAGGCUGCUGAGGAGGCUUGUGCAAGGCCAUAGCCCCAGCUGCAUACGUGACCAACAAAGUGCUCUUUGCUGCCACCAGCUCCACCAGAGCACAAAGCUUAAAAGGCUCUUUGACAUGGCCCAGCCCCUCACACUGAAAUCUCUUUCAUUUAGGAAUUUAGCAGCAAAUGUCUUUUGACUUCCGCUGUGUCUGAGCAUGUGCUUUUCUGGACCAAAAAGAGGAUUUGGUCCUGCCAGGGUAGACAGGUGCCCAUUGUAGUGCACAGAAGGCAGGUGGACAAGUGGGACCUCGUGCUCCUUCUGACAUUAUUUCAUUACUGUUCAUCAUUUAUCAUAAUUGUGAUUUCACUGUUAUUGCCGUGUAUCUGAGGAACACACUCUAAGCACGCUUCCUAUUUGCACCUGACAGAGAGGGAGCAUCUCAAAAAAUCCCCGAGGGUUUUUGAGAUCACAAAGCUCAGAAAGAUAACACAAUUAGUGCACAUAACUCCCCUCGGUUUGCUUUAUGCCUGCUGACAAGGUUAGCAAUAACCCGUCUUUGUGAGGGAUUGUUUUGUCUCCCCUACCAAUGCAUCCAGACUGGCAAGCUUUAGGUCUGACUUAUUAGAGUGUAUCUCAUUUUUCUUAAGGAAACGGUGGUGAAAUUAGAGGCAUAUUACAUAAAGACAUCACAAGUUAUAAAAGGAUGAAUACCAAAUUAAUUAUUAAGAAUCCACCCUUUUUAUUGUCUUCACUAACUUGAAGCCUGACCUGAAGACUGUUCACGGUGGGCUUCUCUCUGUCCUCCUCUAGCUUGAGCUGGGAACGGUUUAAACAUCUCUGCUGGGAGGUGAAUGGUGAAGCCCAAGCUCAGCGAAGCUGCUGUGUUUAGACUGAGUGUGGUCUGUGAUGUGGCUGCUGGUGCUGGAACCAAGCUGAUUGUCCUCAAAUGAGCUCCUCUUGAGUUACGGUAACUCAAGCAAUUCUGACUUUAUCCUAGAUGCCAGCCCUCAGCUAUUCCUGGAAUUAGAGUCUAGGCUAAGAGUGUAUGUUUUAAUAGAAAAAACAUCUAUAGCAUCUCCAAUUUUUUUUUUUCAUUCUAAAGAAAUGUUAAUUUUUCUAAUUUCUGCUGAUUUUUCCCGUGGACCCACUGGCUCUCCCACACAUUCUGCCUUAUGUUAGAAGCGCUUUUGUGAUGAAAGAAAGUAAGGCCUAUUCAUGGGAAAAGCUCUGUCUUGCACCACAUUUGGAGGAUGUGACACCAUGCGAACAUGGGAAGCUGGAAAGAGAAAGGACAGGCAUGGCAUGGAGUUUACUUUGCCAACACUGGUGUCAAUGUAUACCCAGGAACUGCAAAUACUGGUUGGAAACACGUUCUGCUGUCCAGAGGCAUAAUUACAGAAAGCUUGUAGUUGUCUUUAUCACAAAGUUUUAAUUAGCAGGACACAUUAAAUAACCAGCUGAUACAGAUCUUAAUGAAUCAUUUAUAGGCCUACAUCUAGGAUAAUUAUAUGUAGCUGGGCACAUGAAAUCACUUGCAUACGUCUGGGCUUAUGUGAAAUGGAAUAUGCAUCUUCCUCGUGAAAUAAGGGUGAAAGAGAGGGAUGGGACAAAACUGGGGCACCAGGCUGCCUUCCCCAAGCUGUUUUUGCAUGGAGUAUUGCCAACAAAAUAAAUAAAGCUGGCUUCAGGAAGUCUGCCGAGCUCCAGGGUGGGCAUCUUGGGCCAGUCCCCUUUCUUCUGGCACAUUUGUCUCUUCCAUCAUGAUAGGUACCCUAUGGCACUCAUUUCCCACCUUCACUGCAUGCUGGCCCAUGGGCAGGUGUCUUGGUCUUAGGUCCUUUCAAAGAAUUGUAGGUUGACCUCAAGAGAUCACUGAUUUCAACCCCCCUGCUGCAGCAGGUGCCCUAUGUAGAUCACAGAGGUAGGCAUCCAGAUGAGUCUUGAAUAUCCCCAUUGAAGGAGACUCCACAACCUCCAUGGGCAGCCUGUUCCAGUGCUCUGUCACCCUUAUGAUACCCUUAGCUUGUAUAAUUGGGAGCUGUUGUUUUUAUCAAGUGAUAGUUCAACUGCUGUACUAUGUGUGGACUAUGGAUGUGUUGUCCAAUGUUUUUUUGUAUAGUGACUUGGCUUGCUCAACUGGAGCCCCAGAAGAAGCAGAGCCCCUUUAUGACUGCAAGUCAAAAGCAAGGGAUAAACAAACCAUUGCAAGUGUAUAUUUGAAAAGAUUAAGAGCAAAGUAUUACCAACCCAUGCAAUAUUGUAAUCAAAAGUCCUUUAAAAGCGGCGUUGACUAAUUUUCUCAAUUAUCCACAGAGUCUGCUGUUAACAGGUUUCCCUGGUUUCUCAGCACCAGACAAACUCUGCUGAUCUCUGCAAAACAUCUUCCACCUUAAGUACAGAGUUCUCCUUAAAAUUAGUGGUUUUUUCAGAGUUAAUAUGUUAGUCUCCUGAUGUGCCACAGCAGGCGUCUGGAGCAGAUCUUACCAGACUUUUUAUGCUGCGCUUCCUCCUAGAUUGCUUUGAGGCAAGGGAGCACUUGUGGCAAGAGCUGAUGUGGUGCAGGGUUUGACAGCAUCUCUCCACACCUUAGUUUUUGCUUUUGUCAGGGACAGAGGAAUGGAGACUCCAAGUAUGGUUUCUUAGUCCCCAUCAGGGGACAGCCACACAGCAGGGCAUGAGCCGGUGUUCCAUUUCCAAGAUGUCCUCUGCCACUUUUUCCUGAAGGAAAAAGAGAAAUGUGUUAAAAGAGAUUACUCUCUCUCCCAGGGCAGGAAAUGGUCAGUAUGUGAUCCAACCCUGAGACCAGAGGCACCUUCUCUGGAGGACCAUGCUCCACGGUCCCACCCAAGAGGGUGGACAUGAUCAGAACCAGAUAUGAUAGCAUGUUAUGUGCUGAAGCUGACAGUCUGCCUGGACUGACGUCUGUAAUAGCUUUGCACAUUGUGGUUGUUGCUGUUUUUAUCCUCUAAUCCCCUUGGGAAGUAAGGAACUUUUAUUAGUCAUUUUCUGGGGAGAAACUGAGAUGUGGCUUGAUGAGGCCACACAGGGAGCCUGCAGCAGAGCCAUGCAGCUAUCAGACCAACCGUCCUCAUUCCUUAUCAGUUCUGCUACGUACUUGUGCAUAGCUGGGAAACAGACAUGGCUCCCGAAUGGCUGUGAGGAAUAAGACAGAGACAGGGAAGGGGAAGAACAGUGCCUGCUCCUGACACCAAAAAGGUGGUAUGGGAAUGCCCUUAGUGGUGGCAGAGGGCUCCUGCCCCACGCCUUCAGUGGAACAGAUUUUUCUCAGUUUCUUGUUAGACAUGUAGUCUUGGCUUUCCAGCCACUGCCAACACUGUCUGGG